rnacentral:rRNA from 1 species
GACGAACGCUGGCGGCGUGCUUAACACAUGCAAGUCGAACGGAAAGGCCCUGCUUUUGGGGGGUGCUCGAGUGGCGAACGGGUGAGUAACACGUGAGUAACCUGCCCUUGACUUUGGGAUAACUUCAGGAAACUGGGGCUAAUACCGGAUAGGAGCUCCUGCUGCAUGGUGGGGGUUGGAAAGUUUCGGCGGUUGGGGAUGGACUCGCGGCUUAUCAGCUUGUUGGUGGGGUAGUGGCUUACCAAGGCUUUGGCGGGUAGCCGGCCUGAGAGGGUGACCGGCCACAUUGGGACUGCGAUACGGCCCAGAAGGCUACGGGAGGCAGCAGUGGGGAAUAUUGCACAAUGGGCGGAAGCCUGAUGCAGCAACGCCGCGUGCGGGAUGACGGCCUUCGGGUUGUAAACCGCUUUCGCCUGUGACGAAGCGUUAGUGACGGUAAUGGGUAAAGAAGCACCGGCUAACUACGUG